rnacentral:lncRNA from 1 species
UUAGCAUGCAUGAGGCCCUGGGUUCCAGCACUGAAAGAGAGAGAGAGAGAGAGAGAGAGAGAGAGAGAGAGAGAGAGAGAGAGAGAGAGAGAGAGAGAGAGAGAGAAAACAAAUGAAUGAAUCAUUUUCUUUUACUUGCAAUUAGGAACCCUGACUGUGAUAAUUCUUGAGGCAGGACAAUUGGAUAAUACCUCCCUUUUUUUUUCAGUUGGAUAGAUUGAGGCUUAGAGACCUGUCCUUGUUUAUGCAAUGUAAUAGUUUUUGAGUUGAGACCAGAACUCAGGAUGACCCACAACUGGAAGGUGGGAGCCUCAAAAGAAAGAACAAUCUCAGAAGUAGAGAUGCUCCACCAGCUUUGAGUGGUUUCAGGAGAGGAAGACAGCCCAGUUGCCAUCCACUGCUGCAAAGCCCACUCAGGAGGCUUCUUGGAGGAUAGAUAACUCCUUCUGUGUGGCAAGCAGCACUCUGGGGCUCACAUCUGUGGGUCCCAGGACGCAGGGGACACAACCCACCUUGAAAAAGCAAGAUGGAUUCCCUCUAGAAGAGAAGCCAGAGAGGUCAGCCAUACAAAGCUCCCCACUUGGCCCUUCUCCUGUAGGGUUCCAGACGGUUGCAAAGUCCAAAGGAGAUGAUCCCAGCAAGGCAUGGAAGCCACAACAUAGAUGGGCAAAGUCCUUGGGGUUGUUACAUCAGCAGUGUCCUCCUGGAAUGUGUCAUUAUGCCCCAGUACCUGGGGAGAAAAGCAGGAAGGAAAUAUAACAAGCAAAGAAUGCAAGGUCAAGGGGCAGGC